UCGCAGAAGCCGGCCUGCGCCAACUACUACUUCAAAACAUUCUGGCUACAUAAAACCAACACGUGUUCAGAAAGCUUCAGUUGCAGUUAUACUUGCCAAAAGAAAGUUAAUUGCUUGUGAUGGUAUCUUUGUUUGGCUGCUUUCUCAUUCCGUAGAUCACUCGUGCCUAUCAAGGAUGUUGGCAAAGGGCCACGUUAAUCCUCGAAGGCAUCCGAUUGUCAGCGAUGCGGAUGAGAUCGUCAUUUCGCUACACCAGCACUGUGUCCUUGAGCUCAAAGUAAUCGGCGUUUCCGUUUAUCCGUUGCUCAAACGCACGGAGUCCGAUUUUAUCGAUCAUGUUUGAAUGACUACAGAAACAGUCGAAAGACAAUUCGGCGCACUCAAAUGGAUCAAGGUGAUACCUGAUUGUUCCGUAAACUUGUGAAGCGGGUCACGAAGGAUCUUUACUCAAAGCUCAAAAAGGUGGAUAUGUUCCCGUCUCAAAUGAAAUCGACUGUGAUUCAAGUGGCUUCGAUCAUUAACGGAUACAAUGUUCGAUUGCAGGAAAAUAUUGUCGUAUACGAGGCAGUCUUCUUCGAAUUUGUUAACGAGCAUCGCACCGUUGACGGAUACGAGCU